GACGAACGCUGGCGGCGUGCUUAACACAUGCAAGUCGAACGGAAAGGCCCUGCUUUUGUGGGGUGCUCGAGUGGCGAACGGGUGAGUAACACGUGAGUAACCUGCCCUUGACUUUGGGAUAACUUCAGGAAACUGGGGCUAAUACCGGAUAGGAGCUCCUGCUGCUUGGUGGGGGUUGGAAAGUUUCGGCGGUUGGGGAUGGACUCGCGGCGUAUCAGCUUGUUGGUGGGGUAGUGGCUUACCAAGGCUUUGACGGGUAGCAGGCCUGCGAGGGUGACCGGCCACAUUGGGACUGAGAUGCGGCCCGGACUCCUACGGGAGGCAACAGUGGAGAAUAUUGCACAAUGGGCGGAAGCCUGAUGCAGCAACGCCGCGUGCGGGAUGACGGCCUUCGGGUUGUAAACCGCUUUCGCCUGUGACGAAGCGUGAGUGACGGUAAUGGGUAAAGAAGCACCGGCUAACUACGUG
rnacentral:rRNA from 1 species